rnacentral:rRNA from 1 species
UGGGGAAUUUUGGACAAUGGGCGAAAGCCUGAUCCAGCAAUGCCGCGUGUGUGAAGAAGGCCUUCGGGUUGUAAAGCACUUUUGUCCGGAAAGAAAUCCUUGGCUCUAAUACAGUCGGGGGAUGACGGUACCGGAAGAAUAAGCACCGGCUAACUACGUGCCAGCAGCCGCGGUAAUACGUAGGGUGCAAGCGUUAAUCGGAAUUACUGGGCGUAAAGCGUGCGCAGGCGGUUUGCUAAGACCGAUGUGAAAUCCCCGGGCUCAACCUGGGAACUGCAUUGGUGACUGGCAGGCUAGAGUAUGGCAGAGGGGGGUAGAAUUCCACGUGUAGCAGUGAAAUGCGUAGAGAUGUGGAGGAAUACCGAUGGCGAAGGCAGCCCCCUGGGCCAAUACUGACGCUCAUGCACGAAAGCGUGGGGGAGCAAACAGGAUUAGAUACCCCUGGUAGUCCACGCCCUAAACGAUGUCAACUAGUUGUUGGGGAUUCAUUUCCUUAGUAACGUAGCUAACGCGUGAAGUUGACCGCCUGGGGGAGUACGGUCGCAAGAUUAAAACUUAAAGGAAUUGACGGGGUCAUAGCUGUUUCCU